UUAACGGGCAUUUUCGGGGACUAGCCCGCU
rnacentral:snRNA from 1 species